rnacentral:rRNA from 1 species
GAUGAACGCUGGCGGCGUGCCUAAUACAUGCAAGUCGAGCGAACAGACGAGGAGCUUGCUUCUCUGACGUUAGCGGCGGACGGGUGAGUAACACGUGGAUAACCUACCUAUAAGACGGGGAUAACUUCGGGAAACCGGAGCUAAUACCGGAUAAUAUAUUGAACCGCAUGGUUCAAUAGUGAAAGACGGUUUUGCGGUCACGUAUAGAUGGAUCCGCGCCGCAUUAGCUAGUUGGUAAGGUAACGGCUUACCAAGGCAACGAUGCGUAGCCGACCUGAGAGGGUGAUCGGCCACACUGGAACUGAGACACGGUCCAGACUCCUACGGGAGGCAGCAGUAGGGAAUCUUCCGCAAUGGGCGAAAGCCUGACGGAGCAACGCCGCGUGAGUGAUGAAGGUCUUCGGAUCGUAAAACUCUGUUAUUAGGGAAGAACAAAUGUGUAAGUAACUAUGCACGUCUUGACGGUACCUAAUCAGAAAGCCACGGCUAACUACGUG